rnacentral:rRNA from 1 species
AGGGCUUGACAUACGUUGGAAGCGCAUCGAAAGGUGCGUGCCGCUUGCGGCCGGCGUACAGGGUGCUGCAUGGCUGUCGUCAGCUCGUGCUGUGAAGUGUUGGGUUAAGUCCCGCAACGAGCGCAACCCCUGCUGCCUGUUGCCACACGAGAGGUGGGGACUCAGGCGGGACCGCCGGUGACAAACCGGAGGAAGGUGGGGGACGACGUCAAGUCAUCAUGGCCCUUAUGUCCUGGGCUACACACGUGCUACAAUGGCCGGUACAGAGCGCAGCGAGGCCGCGAGGCGGAGCGAAUCGCUUAAAGCCGGUCCCAGUACGGAUUGGAGUCUGCAACCCGACUCCAUGAAGUUGGAAUCGCUAGUAAUCGCGCAUCAGCAUGGCGCGGUGAAUACGUUCCCGGGCCUU